GUGUCAGCCGCCGCGGUAAUACGGGGGGGGCAAGCGUUGUUCGGAAUUACUGGGCGUAAAGGGCGCGUAGGCGGGCGGACAAGUCUCUCGUGAAAGCCCACGGCUCAACCGUGGAAUUGCGGGAGAUACUGUCUGUCUUGAGUCCGGGAGAGGAGGGUGGAAUUCCCAGUGUAGCGGUGAAAUGCGUAGAUAUUGGGAGGAACACCGGUGGCGAAGGCGGCUCUCUGGACCGGUACUGACGCUGAGGCGCGAAAGCUAGGGGAGCAAACGGGAUUAGAAACCCUCGUAGUCC
rnacentral:rRNA from 1 species